GGGGAAUUUUGGACAAUGGGCGCAAGCCUGAUCCAGCCAUGCCGCGUGUCUGAAGAAGGCCUUCGGGUUGUAAAGGACUUUUGUCAGGGAAGAAAAGGCUGUUGCCAAUAUCGACAGCUGAUGACGGUACCUGAAGAAUAAGCACCGGCUAACUACGUGCCAGCAGCCGCGGUAAUACGUGGGGUGCGAGCGUUAAUCGGAAUUACUGGGCGUAAAGCGAGCGCAGACGGUUACUUAAGCAGGAUGUGAAAUCCCCGGGCUCAACCUGGGAACUGCGUUCUGAACUGGGUAACUAGAGUGUGUCAGAGGGAGGUAGAAUUCCACGUGUAGCAGUGAAAUGCGUAGAGAUGUGGAGGAAUACCGAUGGCGAAGGCAGCCUCCUGGGAUAACACUGACGUUCAUGCUCGAAAGCGUGGGUAGCAAACAGGAUUAGAUACCCUGGUAGUCCACGCCCUAAACGAUGUCAAUUAGCUGUUGGGCAACUUGAUUGCUUAGUAGCGUAGCUAACGCGUGAAAUUGACCGCCUGGGGAGUACGGUCGUAAGAUUA
rnacentral:rRNA from 1 species